CCCCUCGGACCCCUGCCCCCAUGGCAGGCAUGCUCCAUAGCUAAGGAGCCUAUACAUCCAGGCCGAGCUGUACGCCCAGCCCUCAGCAGGGAACUCAAGCAGAAGCAGCUGCUGGAUAAAUAAAUGCCCACUGACAGGACGAGCGUGGGGAACCCACACCGAGCCAGGUGGAAGAACGGCUCUGGCCAGGAGCCGGUAAACCAAGGCGAUUACAGCCUUCGGACCCAAGACACCACCCCGGAGCCCACAGCAUCUGCCAAUCUCGGUGAGCGCCUCCCGCGGACGUGCCAACCCCAGGUGGGUUUGGUGGCGGGUGGGUGGAAAGGUGCGCGGGAAGACCCCGCCUGGCUGAGGGCGGCGCCGGGGUGCACACAGCCCCGGCCCAGUGCCCAGCGCCCUGCCCCUUCCUCCUCCCUGUGGUGUCACGGAAGGCUUCCCCAGGGAGGGGACACCAACAGAGCUGGGGGUGAAGCUAGGGAGCGGGUCCCGAGAACAUCUGGGACAAGCUUUCUUGGCCGUGAUAUUUCUAUGACGCGCCCGCCUCCCUUGGCUUCCGGUUGGCUGUGUAUCUUUGUCUUUAUAUUUAAAGCCCCACCCUGUGUUGGUUCCUCUGCAC
rnacentral:lncRNA from 1 species